rnacentral:ncRNA from 1 species
UGUCUUCAGGGCAGGGUGCAAUUCCCGAUUGGCGGUACAGUCCGCGAGCGCACGGCGCACGAACCGGUGAAACUCCGGUACCAACAGUAAAAGUCUGGAUGAAAGAAGAU